CACAAAAUGAGCCGUAGGUAGAGAACCGAAUCCACAUUCAUCCAGUGGUUAUUCUACAGUCAAUUCAUUUCGAAUGGCUGCGCUGGACUGAGCUUUGGGGGGGAGCGGGGGGGGAUAAUCAAUCCGUGCUGUGCCCGGUCCUCCACCAGCCGCUGCUGCUGUUGAUGCAGAGGUUAGCAGCUGCAGCGCGGUGGUGUUGUGAUGAUUUUUUUUUUUUUGCCGCAGUCUACGUCCAUCGUAUAAACCAACACGCAUUGAGAUGAAUAAUGGAAGUACAGUACUGAAGACAGCCAAGCUGAUUUAUCACAGCGAAUCAUUCACUGCUCCAGCCCCAGCUCUCAAUUAUGCCACUUUAAAUCACGCGCACACACACAGAAAGAGAGAGAGAGAGAGAGAGAGAUAAGCUAUUUGUGGCCAGAUCUGAGCCAAACACAGUGAAAGAGAAAGAAAAAAAAAUCCGGAUUGUUGAACAGAGGGAGGUGGGAAAUAAAAGACAAAAAAGGAUCUUUCCCCCCAGCGUGGACAAGCGCUCUGUAAUGCAGCUUGGAAGAAAAUAAAGUCUGAACAAAACUAGACGGUGAGACAAGCACGUAGGAGAGGGUGAAACUGACGUUAACGCAGACUCUAUGGGAAUCUGGUCACUGGGAAGCAAAACCCUCUCUCCUUUGCUCGCUCUCACACAAUUUUUAAAAGAAACGCACUAGAACUGAGUUGCGACGAAGCUUGGCUUUAAAGCCCUUCAGGUAACGUCCAGACGGUGAAUGGAAAUCGAUAAAAGCAAGGACAUUCGUAAUCAGCACUUCCGUCUUGUCACCUGCCCUCUGGUGACGAGGUAUUACAGUGAUCGGAGUCGGUGUGAAACGGAACACAGCACAGGUGCUACACUCCUAUCAACGUACGGCUGUGCAAACUACUACCCCGCACCACUCCGGAGGGACUGGAAAAGUGCUGCAUACUGACUCCUUAUCACAAUGCACAGGGCCUGAUCCUGAAGCCAAAUUUCAGAGAAGUCAAAGGGAGUUUUACCGAAGUAGACAGCAAGAUGAGGAUUGACAGGCAGCGAUCGAUCCAGUGGGGGUCAAUUUAUCAUGUCUAGUCUAGACACGAUAAAUCAACUGCUGAGCGCUCUCCCGUCGACUCCGGUACUCCACCGGAGUGAGAGGCACAGGAGGAGUUGAUGGGGAAGUGUCAGCUGCCGAUUCACUGCAGUGAAGACACCGCGCCAGCAACGGCAGAGAAAACAGCAGCAGCAGCGGUGAGGGGCAGCAGAGGCUGUGGAAGCAACAAGACAUUUGCUGAGAUGGCAGCAGCAGCAGAGGCAUGGCUCAACAUUCCACCCCCUUUCAAGGAGCAGGAGGUGAACCCAUGUGAACACACCUUUGAACGCUGGGUCCUCGCUGACUGAGAACAACCAAAUGAGAGAUUGAUGGCUAACAGGAAGUUCUGAACAACGAUGAGUCUUCAGUAUUCUGCAAUGAACACGAACCUCUUUGAUGCCUUUUCCACCCGUGUAAUGGCAAGAGGAAAGAAGCUGGCUAUAAGAAUCAUUACCAGUACAAACCCAUUCACAUAUUUACCACUUGGGACAAGUGAAGGCCAAACACAUGCCAAGCAAUUAUACAGCUAAACAGGCUCAUGCAUAAGUUAGCCCACAUCAGGUUGGCUGCAAUUGACUCUUGCUAUAUUGGCACCAGUUCCACCUGUGUUGGAUGGCAGCAAAGAAAGCAACUUAUCCAUGUGGCUAACUCCACCAAACAGUGGCCCAGCUACUCCCCCUUUUGGAAAAAAAAUCUCAUCACAAACAAUAACCCCUUUCAAUGUGGGAUAGAAAAGUGCUUUACAAAAGUCAAAUACUUUGCCCUAAUUUUUAUACCAGGGUAUACUUCCAACAUCUCUAUACACACUGGCAGACUGUUUACAGGUCAUUGGUGACUACACAGGAACCAGACAUAGCUCGCAGGGGAUUUGUGCAGACUAAUACUGAAUCCUAACCCUGAUCUUUGCCAGGUUGACUGGGUCCCUGGAAGAGGAACAUCUCAAGAAUGGACUAGGUAUUCCUCCCUCCAUAGCUUAUCUCAAUGGAGGGAAGCAGCUGAACCUCCUUGCUAAUUCAGCUAAAAAGGCAAAGAGGCCACCUGCCCUAAAAACAAACCAAUGAAGGGUGAAGAAAGAUCUUGGCAAAGCAAGAGAACAGAAGUCAGGUGAUAAGGGAAUUUACAUUGUUUUGCAUUUGUGCUACAUCUGUGCAAAGUGAGUGUAAAAACCCGCCCGUUCUGAUGUGUAGCCAAGUGGGUGUGAAAUGUUACCACAAGAUGCAAGGCAGUAGAGAAUCUUAUUCCUGGUUUUGCCAGAAGCUACUGUAUAAACUUGGGUAAAUCAAUUAACCACACUUUUCCUAGCUAUAAAAUGGAAAUAGUGGUUCACCCGACAAAUUAUGCAGGAGUCUAAUUCAUUACUCUUUGCAAAAUGCUUUGAGAGCCUCAGAUAAAGUUUAUAGAACAUGAAAGCAUCAUUGCUGUAAAGUAAAGAAUGGAAAGGCCUCUCUCUGAAGGAAGACUGACAGCUAGACAGGGCCACCAACUCUGAGAGGUUCCUAGUGCUUAGAAGAGAACACUGAGGACUAGGUAAAUAAGGCUUUGCUGUAACUUUUUGAUUUUGACUGUGGCCUUUGUUAACAAUAAGAAGAGAAAAUACAGCUGGUUACUCUGGACUGAACUGCAUUGUAUUUUGAGUCACCAAUAGAUAAAGAAAAACCCUUUAGGGUUUCUGAGUUUAUUUCCUUACAAAGUACGUCUGUCCAGCUGCAGUGACUCCGGGCCUUCCAUAAUAUUAAGAGAUUCAAGAGCAUUUAGGAAGCAUUCAUACACUCCCGGAGAUUUCUUUGUUGACUGAUUGUUGGCCAAGCGAACAGAACAGACUCCUCACUCUAAACUGAAAUACGGCUGCAUGUUAAAAAUCUUGUAUGCAGACUUCCAUCUUAGACUCUUAGGGCUGAAAGAGAAGUCCUGAAAACAAAGGUUCCUAUUAGACAUGCCUGCGGAGACUUAGAGUAGUGUGAAGAAGAUUGUACUAAAAUUAGUUUAGUUACCGUAACCACAUCGUCCCAUAGGGAUAGUUUGGCAAAGUGCUGUAAGUUGCUUUCUACUAUUUGCUCAUCCCCAGAGAAGACAGUAUCACAGGAGGGAGCUACAAUUUGGAACUAUCUUGUUUUAUACUGCUGCUUUGUAGUGUAUCUGCCAAACAUUGCAGGUACAGAAAAACAAUAUAUGCAAAAACAUUCUAUAUGCAUCCGAAGAAGUGGGCUGUAGUCCACGAAAGCUUAUGCUCUAAUAAAUUUGUUAGUCUCUAAGGUGCCACAAGUCCUCCUGUUCUUCUUUUUGCGGAUACAGACUAACACGGCUGCUACUCAGAAAAACAAUGGUGAAAGCACCCAUACAAUGCUUUCAUAUCACAACUCUACCUUACAGGAUCCAGCAAAACCCACUAGGAAUUGUGGUCUCUUCUCACUGAGAAAUCUAACAGGGAAAUGACUGAAUUUCUCAGGAGCGGUAGCAUUUUGGGGGCAGGCUUGUGAAGUGAUUUUUUGCUAUAACCCCACCCUAUUUCAAACAUAUCAGACUCCUGUUUGCGGGGGACAUGGAGAGAUGAGCCAGUUGAUUCUUUCUGAUACUUCAGAGUUGUCAAAUCCAUGUGUUCCAAAAAACAUGAGCCAGACCCCGUAAAAAAUAUUCGGCUGGCCUAAUAAUCAUGAGUUUUUAAAAAUAAAUUUUGGAUUCUGUUUCUCUGCCAUCUGGUUUUUGAGCCCUGAGGGUACACUCAGGCCACAUUUUUCAGGCUUUUCUCUGCAACCAUAAGGGUUAUAAACUUACUUUAAAAAAUAUAAAAUCUGAGAUUCUCAGAGUCACGUCUUCAGCGUCAGGGGCUUUAAGUAAAACGUCAAGUAUCCCGGGACUCACUAUAAAUUGCGAGAGUUGGCAACACUGCCUUUCCACUCUGAUUCAUUUUAUGUAAAUAAGUGUGUGUGUGUGUGUGUG